rnacentral:lncRNA from 1 species
AGCAGGAUCUCAUUGCUUAUCCAUUUCAUAUGCAAUAGUCUGCAACUAAUAACCCCAAACUCCUGGUCCAUCCCACUCCCUCCUCCUCCACCUUGGCAACCAUAAGUCUGUUCUCCAAGUCCAUGAGUUUCUUGUCUGUAGAAAGGUUCAUUUGUGCCAUAUUUUAGAUUCCAGAUAUAAGUGAUAUCAUAUGGUAUUUAUCUUUCUCUUUCUGACUUCUCUUAGUAUAAGAGUCUGUAGUUCUGUCCACAUUGCUGCAAAUGGCAUUAUUUUGUUCUUUUUAUGACUGAGUAGUAUUCCAUUGUUUAUAUGUACCCCAUUUUCUUAAUCCAUUCAUCUGUCAAUGGACAUUUAGGUUGUUUCCCUGUCUUAGCUAUUGUGAAUAGUGCUGCAGUGAACACAGGGGUGCAUGAUGAAAAAAUUAUGUUGACUUCCAUAAAGUACCAUUCAUGAGUAGUUACUAAAAACAAGUUUCAUGAUGAUGCUGAUCUCAAAAAACUAAGAAUUCAGAGGUCCAAAAAUCCUCUAAAACCAAGUUUUCCAUAAGUUUAUGGCAAACUCAGUGUACAUGAGGCCCUGUAUUGCCUUAUCCCAUGCAGUGUGAAUGUACACCUUUCCCACCGAAAUGCUAAUGUGUUUGAUUACUCCUUGCUGUAUCAGACCCUUUUGAUCGUAUUAGGUACCAUAUUUCUGUCUGGAAUUAGAAAGGUAAUCCAUUUGGCCCCAGAGGUUUGGAUAAAGGAUUAUGAAUAAACAGCUAUUGGGCUGAUGGAACCCUGUGCCCACUGGCCCUGAUUCCACUCUUUAGAAACACCCACGUAAAUACAAUCCCUUUUCCAUGGAAUGGCUCUUCAGCCAUCUGAGAUUAGCUUUGAAGAUGCUCUCAGGUUUUCCAUUGUGCUGACAUGGUAUUCCCAGUUCUUUAGAAUCUCUGGACUUUUCUGACUCCCUCAGUUUUGCAUUUGGCCUGGACCACUUCCUCUGUUGUUUCAGCUGUGCCUUUACUACACCAUGAUCUACUCAGCACAUUACACUUCUUAACACUUCAGUGUCAGCAAGACGAGACCCUUCACUUUUCUUGCUCCGGGAGAAAUUUUCCAAGCCAGACUAUUUCAAGAUCAGUGUUCACCAACCUAAGGUAGAUUCUCUAAGGAAUGGACAUCCUAAGGCAAAUCCUGGGAAACAUGAGAGUGAUGGGAAGUCAAGAACAAUUUUAUUCAACUUUUAAUUUUCCUUUAUGAUUGUUCCCCAUGGUGCCUUCUUUCACUUUCUUCCAAGCCCGAACACCAUUUCUGCACCUUCACUCUGAAUAUAUGACUCGUCCACAAGUAUUAAAUAGCUACUAUAUGCCAGGCACUGGAGUUGUGAACAUCAUCACGACUUUCUUGAAUCUCUGGAGCUUACAUUAUACACACUGGGUGCUGAUACGGGCUCUGAAGACAAAGCAGGGAAAGGGAAGAGGGAGUUGAAGGAGGUGCGUGGAAGCCAGCCAGGCAGUGCUCUCUCAGGGAUGACAGCUAAGCAGGGACUUGAAAGAAAUGAGGGAAUGAACCAGUAGAUAUGGCAAUGGAACAUUCCAGAGGGAGAGGCAAGUGCAGAGUCCUAGGGAGGAAGCCACAGUGGCUGAACAGAGUGACAACAGGUGGAAGAUGCUGCAGAGAGGGGCAUUGGGGCAGAUCAUGGACCUGGUGGACCAGGGGCAAAGGUUUCCAGAGGCUGUAAAGCAGAACCAUGGACACACUGCUGGUGCUGAGGGAGCAGAGGAGAAUCACCCUUUGGAUUUGGGAAUUGGUGGCAUCUCCAUUGGAUUAGAUGGGAGCACACGGUAUGGAAUAAGGUGAUAAUAGGCAUAUCAAGAGAAAGGUCUAGCUGGAGGGUGAGGGGAUUAGGGAUUUUCUUUUUUAUUUGAUGGGAUGAACAGCAUAUAUUUAGCCUGAUAGGGAUAAUCCAGUAAUGGGAAGGGGGGGAUGUGUGUUUUUGUCCUCCCUUCAUAUGCGUGUUUCCUUGAACCCAUUCCUGCAUUGUAUCCCCUUCUCUUGCAUAAUUCUAAACCAUUAUGAUAGAAGUAGCUUUGUUACACAUUUUUUUAAGUUUCACAGGAGGAAAUGUGAUAUAGUCCCUAUAAACUAAUUUCUAUGUCUAAUAGCCCUUGAGUCUCCCCAUCAAGAAAAGUUUUUUUCUAAAAAGAAAAAUAGGAUCCAAGUUACUCAUCCACAUCCUCCUUGCUAGAUAAAUAUUCCAAACAAAAAACAUAGUGUACAUACCAACAGAACUUAAUGUUGUAUCUCACUGGCUAUAAUCAAAUGCUUUUCUGAACCAUAUGCCUGCACACAAAAAGAAUCACUGAUAUUAAGAGAAUAUCUUAUUUAACACAGGUGGAAACAGUAAAAGGAUUUUUACAUGAAAAAUGUCAAAUGUAGUAAGCAACACUCCUGUAAGAAAAGAUAAACCUCGGAGUUCCUGCUUGGUGCAGUGGGUUAGGGAUCCAACUUUUCAGCAGCUCAGGUUGCUGCAGAAGUUCAGGUUCCGUCCCUGGCCAAGCUCAGUGGGUUAAGGAUCCAGUGUUGCUGCAGCCGUGGCAUAAGCCUUGGCUGCAGUUCACAUUCAGUCCUUGGCCUGGGAACUUCCAUAUGCUGUAGGUGCAGUAUCUUAGAAUCUGCUACCAAAAGACAUUCAGAGCUGUCACGCCCUGGUCAUCUGUAAGUCAGACUUCUGGCCUCCCUAACCUUCAUGACACAGCUGGGAACCCUCAAGUCUGGGGGAGGUGGGGUGAGGGAGAAGUCCUGGCAGCUGAAGUGACUCCCUCCAGGUCCAGGCGCUCUAUCUGCUUAACUGAGACUAAACCGCUCUAAUCUGAGGCUCAUUUAAAUGGACUUAGUUACCUGGUUUUCCUUUCUAGAGAAGAUAGGAAUUUGUUGAAGAAGAUAAGGCAGGUUUGCUGGCACUGGGAGUAGUCAACACAGACUUCAUAACUGGCAGUGACAUUAGGCUCCCCUUGCAGAGCAGCGUGGGGUUAGCCUCAUCAUCGAGGCCUAAGUCCUUAGGCACCUUGAGGAAGGCCUGUGUCUGCAUAUCACAACAGUGAUAAGGGUGGCCAUUAAUAAAGGUUAAUAAAGGUUAAAUUGUUGCAUUUAUUUAAGAAAGAGAAAGGUUUAUUUUUCAAAAACAACUGUUCAAAAUUGGUUAUACAAAGAUCGGUCCUUGUAGGAAUUGCGUUCCCAUUUCCUGGGAAUCACCCAUUCGUUUGUCUAACUCUGACCAUUACCAGGACAAAAGUUAAAAAUUGUUUGCUCACACUAGUUGUCUAUUCUGUUUGCCAAACUGAUUCCAUCAGUCUUUUGUUUUUUUCCCCAUAAUUAACUUCUCCCUUAAAAGAUAAAGGAAUGCCUCCUAUUCCUUUAUUGCUUUUGGUCCUCCAUUUGAGGGAGUACUAGAUGAUUUGUUUCAGUCCAUUGUUUAAAAACAGAAAUUUGGAGUUCCUGUUAUGAUAAUGAAUUGACUAGCAUCCGCGAGGAUGUAGGUUCUAUCCCUGGCCUCCCUCAGUGGGUUGAGGAUCCAUUGUUGCCCUGAGCUAUGGUGUGAGUCACAGUCACAACUCAGAUCCAGCGUUGCUGUGGCUGUGCCGCAGGCCAGCAGCUAUAGCUUUGAUUCGACCCUCACCUGGGAACCUCCGUAUGCCACAGGUGCAGCCCUAAAGAGACCAAAAAAAAAAAAAAAA